ACUCAAAGGAAUUGACGGGGGCCCGCACAAGCGGCGGAGCAUGUGGCUUAAUUCGAUGCAACGCGAAGAACCUUACCUGGGUUUGACAUGUACGGAAAUCUGGCAGAGACGUCAGGUCCGCAAGGGUCGUACACAGGUGGUGCAUGGUUGUCGUCAGCUCGUGUCGUGAGAUGUUGGGUUAAGUCCCGCAACGAGCGCAACCCUCGUCCUAUGUUGCCAGCGCGUAAUGGCGGGGACUCAUAGGAGACUGCCGGGGUCAACUCGGAGGAAGGUGGGGGUGACGUCAAAUCAUCAUGCCCCUUAAGUCCAGGGCUGCACACAUGCUACAAUGGCCGAUACAAAGGGCUGCGAUACCGCAAGGUGGAGCGAAUCCCAAAAAGUCGGUCUCAGUUCGGAUUGGGGUCUGCAACUCGACCCCAUGAAGUCGGAGUCGCUAGUAAUCGCAGAUCAGCAACGCUGCGGUGAAUACGUUCCCGGGCCUUGCACACACCGCCCGU
rnacentral:rRNA from 1 species